rnacentral:lncRNA from 1 species
GAUGGGAAGCAAGGGGCCAGAGUGGGUACACCUAGUUGCAAUUUCAGGUACGAGAUAGAGCUUUUCUAUGACUCUGCCGCCGAGACACUGCCACCAUCACCAUCACCAGCUCCAGCACCUCUACCAUCAUCAUCUUCACCACCACUGGCGCCUCCACCUCUACCAUCGUCAUCUUCACCACCACUGGCGCCUCAACCACCAACUGGUAGAGCUAGCUUAAUAGGUAAUUACUAUUUCUUUGUAUAAUGUAUGCAUAAAAAAUCCUUAAAGAAAAAAAAAAAGUGCACUUGCCGAUCUAUACCGCCAAAUUCAGCUAUAAUCAAAUUUCGUUCUGGUUUUACAGGAAAAGCAAGUAAUAUAGCUGCAGGAGGUUUCAUCGCCACUUUGCUCCUAGUGUUACUUUAGUGGUACCUUUCGUCUUCAUCUCUCUAUUCACGACAUUUCCGAUCGGAGAAGGUUGAAUCAAUGUAUUCUGUGUAAACGGUUUUGCUCCAUAAUAUAAUGAAAAAGGCUAAAUAAGUGGUUUUGGCUAGUAUUGUUUUCUGCAUAGAUAAUUUGCAGGAAUAUGUAAUAGCUGUAUCUUAAUUUCACAUGUCCUGGUUGAACAUUGUGUAUCUUUUACAAUAAUAAGUCGACUGAAAAUAAAGCAACACCAUAGCUAUGUAGAUAGAUGGAGUUCUACAAAAUAAUUAAGAUAAUCUAAUUUCUUUAGAAUUAUCCAAUUGACAAGAAGGAAAUUCUAAAAGAAAAAAUUCAUCAAUUAGCCAGGAAUAAACAAUUGCAUAAAGAAGCCGUAGACAAAACUAUGACAAAAGAGUUGAACUUUAACAUAUAGGCACAGUAUUAAAACUAAAUAUACUUGAAGAAGUAAUUCAUCUUAUCAAGAACUUUAAACAAGCUUGUUUUAAGGGAAAAAAAGAAAAAGACAAAAGUUGCUGACUUUUAACGAGGUUCUAGCUCUGUAAUCGAAGCAUCGUUAAUUGAGCAUUGGAUAGGCCUGCCUUGGGACAGUCUUGCCGGAGUCGAUUCUGGUGACAGUGAUGUUUUUCGCUCCAUGGAACUGCGCAUAAGAUAUGCAGGUUUUGACGGUUUUGUGAGAACAAGAGAGUGGCUAGUGAGCAUGAGAACCACUGAAGCCCUGGUUGGUCUUUUGGCUGCGUCUUCUUGUAAGCAUAGUAAUGCUAUAUGGAUGCAUCUCAAUAUUUCACUUCUUGAAGAAUCUUCCAAUAGGACAGGAUCUAUUACAUUUGAAGCAGUCCCUUUAUUCUAGUUCUCCCAUGCCUACAAAUAUUAAAGAUUUUCAGAUUGAUGAGUCGAAUAGCUAAUUGAAAGGAGAAAUAUAACAAGAAGCAUAUAUUUACAUAGGUUAGAAACUGUUCCCCUUCUUCUACAUUUCGGAAAUUACGGUUCUCUUGACCAUUGAUAAUUUCCAAAACUAGCACACCAAAAGCUAAAGACAUCUGCUUUCACUAACACAAGUCCAUGCUUCACGUACUCUGGAGCCAUAUAGCCACUGAACGUGACAACAAUUAAUUGUUUGAUUUUGGAUACAAAUAACUUUUGUUUUGUGCUAACGAUGAAUGCACUGCUGUAAAUAAUUUUUAUACUUGCAAGGUUCCUAUGACUUUGCUUGUAGCAGCCUGAGAUUGAUCGAUUGCAAACAAUUUUGCAAUUCCAAAGUCUGCAAUUUUAGGCUUCGUAUUUUCAUCUAGGGAACAUUGCUAAGUUUGAGAUCGCGAUGAAUAAUCCGGAGCUGAGAAUCUUCAUGAAGAUAAAGAAUUCCAAAGGCUAUGCCCACUAUAAUUUUGUGGGCUUCUCCCAAUCCAGUAGUAAACGCUUCCCUUGAUCUGCAAAUUUAAGAUCUGUUAGGAUUUAUUAGAUAGAUAUUUAUACUUGUAAUUAGUUGUAAAUAAAUACUUCUAUUCUCAAUAAAUAGAUUGAGAGAGAGUCAUUUUUUACCCAAACAUUAAAUCUCAUCAAGAUCUCAUAUAUAUAGUUCAAAUGAAAACCAAAAUAGAGUAGAGAAGAAAUUCAGGAACUAAUACCAAAUAUGAAACGGUCGACACUUGAAUUUGGCACGAACUCAUAGAGAAGAAGUUUUUCAUUUCCUUCAAAGCAGAAACCCAAGAGCCUAACCAAAUUCGUACGUUGAAUCCUGGCCACUAUCGUGACUUCAUUCUUAAAUUGAACUUCUCCUUGCCUUGAGUUUCUUAGCAGCUUUUUCACAGCUACUCGCUGUCCAUCUGGAAGGAUUCCCCAAUUCAAAAAAAUAUUAAUUAAAAAUUAAAAUAUACAAAUGAAGAAAGGAAAUUUGAAAGGAGAUUGACAUGUUGUGAGAUCAGAACCAAAUCCGCCUUGUCCAAGUUUAUUAUUAUCAGAGAAGUUAUCAGUUGCAAGUCUGAUUGUUUCAUGGGUGAAUUGCUGGCAUCCUGUGCUACUAUUUUCGUUCAAAUCUUCAGCAUGUAACUUACUUUUGGUCGGUUGCUUUGACUUCCUAUAACGGAAUAGGGCGCAAGUGAGGGCCAUAACUGACACCAAGAUUAUUGUAGGAGCAACGCCAAUUACAACAGCGCGAGCAGCUAAACUUCAUUUUCUGCCCAGAUCAGAAAUUGUGAAAAAAGGACUGAAAAAUCAGAUAGAUAUAUUUAACACAAACUGAGAGUGAACUAAUUAAUAAUUCAAAUUCCAGAGCUUAGCCACCUUGCCUUCUUGUAUAAUUGACUGCAGAGGGAGAAAUAUUAAGCAAAGGUGGAGGAGGUGGUGUUGGAGGUUCAGCAAUAGAAGUAUAGAAUGGGUACAAAUCCCAUCGGAAUGUACAACUAGGCUUCGUAACAUAAAAUCCUCGCUUCCCACGGCUACAGUUAUUAUAAUCACCCGCUGCCUGUUGUAGACAAUAGCUGCAAUCGCUCGAGGAUAAAUCAGGAGUACAUUGCAUUAGUGCAUAUAUUCUUUGAAGGGGUCUAACAUCUGCUUCUUCUUUUUUUUCUUUUUUCAUCAAAUUCUCACUGAUUUUUAGAUAAAGUAUCAUAUGCUAAAUGGUCUCCAAACAUAAAAAUUUACAAGCUAAAAGGACAAUUAUCAAUUAAACUCAAUUUUCUAAAUUAAUUUCUUCACUUGUUUUGAUGUAAAAUUGUGAUUUCUCUUUAAGUUGGUAGUCAUUGUUUUAGUUAUUUUUUAUUUUUUUUUAACUUCCAAUUGGUUAUUAUUGUGGGAUUUGGCAACAUAGAAAAAUAUAAUUAAUUAUUAUAGAAAAACAUAAACAAUUUGGCAAUGCAUUGUUAACAGCAUUUUAGGCCCGUUAAUUAGUAAUUGCAGUUUAUUGGAGUCCAUAAGUAAAGGUAUUGGGCCACUCUUGAUGGGCCUUUACGAAAAGGUAACCCGAUCUGACGUUUUCUACAAGGCCGUUUAAUCCGAGUCCCUGAAAAUUCUUUGACAGGUUCUGAGAAUCUAGAUGCUAGGGAUGAUACCGCGUUACAAUAAACUAAUUUACCAUCCAUUACAGACAUAUUCAACAAUGACAUGUUCUACUCUUGAAACAAAAAAAAAAAAACAAGAGGAAAAUUUUCAAAUAUUCUGACCGGUGAACUUGUAGAAUCCCAUAAAUAUUUGAUAAAGACUGAUUUUCAGAGGGUGAGCUUGUACAUUGCACGACGUGAAUGGCUUCUUUAACAAUUCUAUUGUCCUGUUCUUAUCUUCUCCUACGACUAGUUUCUCUAGCCAAUGCUCAGCCAGACUUCUUGUUCCCGUUCUGUAACAAUGGAAGAGGUAAUUAUACAACUAACAGCCUCUACAAAAGAAACCUCGACAAUCUCCUGUCAUCCCUCGCUUCCAACACCGAAAUUGACAAUGGAUUUUACAAUCUCUCUGUCGGCGAAGCCCCGGACCAAGUAAGUGCUAUUGGGCUCUGUAGAGGAGAUGUGGGGCUUGAAGACUGUCGAGGUUGUAUAAGCAACGCUACUAGUAAGAUCUUACAGAUUUGUCCAAACCAGAAGGAAGCUUUUGGAGUAUAUGAUUUCUGUACUCUGCGAUACUCCAACAGAUCCAUAUUUGGUGUGAUGGAAGGAUCACCCGUUUUCCGUAUCUGGAAUACAAACAAUGCUUCGGAUGUGAACCGUUUCACUCAGGCACUGCAAACGUUGUUGAGUAGACUUCGGAGCGAGACAGCGUCAGGGAACUCAACUCGAAAGUUUGCAAUAGGAAAUGAAAACGCAGGAUUUGAAAAUGUAUUUGGACUAACGGAAUGCAGUCCUGACUUAUCUAGCCAGGAGUGCGAUGAUUGCCUGGCUCAGGCUAUUCGGGACAUUCCUGGAUGCUGUGCUGGAAGUUUAGGAGCACAAAUAAUUAAACCCAGUUGCAACGUCAGGUUUGACAAUAGGUUCUUUUACCAACUUCCAUCACCAUCAUCACCGGCUGUACCUCUUCCUCCACCAUCAGAAGGUUGGCAGACUUAUAAACUCCCUGUUGUAUAGCAUAUAUAAUUGCAUUUUAACAAAUAAUUAAUGGAGCUGAAUUGAUUUCUGCAGGAAAGAAGAGCAACAAAGCACGAACAGUCAUUAUCAUCGUAGUUCCAACUGUCAGUGUUGUGGUAUUAUUAGCCAUCAUCAUCUUCUGCAUCUUUUUCAGGACGCGGAGGAAGCCAAAUGAAAAAGCUGAAAGUAAGUAAAAAUAGAUUGGACUUAUAGUUUCUUGAUGUACAUUUUAAGAAUGUAUUAUUACAUAUUAAUUUCAUUUUGCAAUUGGGCUAAUUAAUUUGUUCCCUUUUGUUGUGAUGUAAAGCUGUAGAUGACAUUGAAACUGCAGAAUCUUUGCAGUUGGACUUUGAAACUGUUAAAGCUGCAACAAAUAACUUCUCUGAUGAAAAUAAGCUCGGGCAAGGUGGAUUUGGUGCUGUUUACAAGGUAAUAAUGGAAUUCUAUAGAAUGGACAAAUAAUAAUCUAAUUAAAUUUUUCCAUAUCUGAAAAUGUAAUUAACUAAUUUUCAGGGUACAUUAUAUAACGGUCAAACAAUAGCAGUGAAGAGACUGUCUAAAGAUUCAGGACAAGGAGAUCUAGAAUUUAAAAAUGAAGUCCUUUUGGUGGCUAAGCUUCAGCACAGAAAUUUAGUUAGGCUUCUCGGUUUCUGCUUGGAAGGCAAUGAAAGGCUUCUUAUCUAUGAGUUUGUCCCAAACACUAGCCUUGACCAUUUCUUAUUUGGUAAGAAAUGGCAUAUAUAUUUAAUUAUAAUUAAUCAUCUCGCUAUAGCAAAAUUAAUGUCUAUAUUAACUUAUACAUUAUAACUACUUAGAUCGAACAAAGCGUGAAGAAUUAGAUUGGGAAACACGUUACAAGAUUAUUUGUGGCAUAGCUCGAGGACUUGUUUACCUUCACGAGGACUCUCGGCUUCGAAUCAUUCAUCGUGACAUGAAAGCCAGCAAUAUUCUAUUAGACGCUGACAUGAAUCCAAAAAUCUCAGAUUUUGGCAUGGCAAGGUUGUUUGUAAUGGAUCAAACUCAAGGCAACACAAGCAGAAUUGUCGGAACCUAGUAAGUAUUAUAUAUAUUUUUAAUAAUAGCCAAUUGAAAAUAAUCUAGGCAUGUCAAUAUAUAUGUUUUUGGUAUACAGUGGCUAUAUGGCUCCAGAGUAUGCAAUGCACGGGCAAUUUUCAGUCAAAUCAGACGUAUUUAGCUUCGGUGUUCUAAUUUUGGAGAUUUUGAGUGGUCAAAGAAAUAAUGGUUUCCGCAAUGGAGAGAACAUAGAGGAUCUUUUGAGCUAUGUAAGUAAAUUUAAGUUUUACUUAUCUAUUCAACAAAAUAUUGAAAGGACUGCCCCUUUCCUUAACUAAGAACCUGUAUAAAUUCUGCAGGCAUGGAGAAAUUUUAGGGAAGGCACAUCUAUGAAUCUUAUAGACCCAACUUUGAGGAGUGGUUCAAGAACUGAAAUGAUGAGAUGUGUCCAUAUUGGAUUACUAUGUGUUCAGGAAAAUGUAGUUGAUAGGCCAAACAUGGCUUUAGUUGUUCUUAUGCUAAAUAGCUAUUCAACUACUUUACCUUUACCUUUAGAGCCUGCAUUUUUUAUGCACAGCAGCGCUCAUUCAGAUGUGUCUUCUUCAGCAAGCUACUAUUCAAAAAUGACAGAAUCCUCGCAUUCGAAAAUUGAAACUCUUCCAUUGUCUAGAAAUGACUCAUCAGCUAUUACGAAUUUAUAUCCUCUGUAGGAAAUUAUUUUUGAAAACAAAUUUUGGUUGUUGUAUUUAUAUUGAUUAUUUCAAAUAUUUUGUAGCUAUAUUACGUUUGUGUGUAAUUUUGACGAUUUAUUCAAAGAUUCAAAAAAUAGACAUGUUGUGUACUGAUAGAGAUAUAUGGUCAAUUCUCCGUUGGCUACACUCAUAGACCAAACUAAUGAAUAAUAGAAUUUUUGUUAAAACGAAAAUAUUUUUGACUAAACACAGGAGAAAAAACAAUGAAGUAAGAACAAUUUUUUUAACCAAAAUUUUUAAUUUAAUCUGAAGUGGGUCUAAUUCCUUUGUAAUGAUAAUGAAUAUUAAUAAUUUCUCUCUCUUUCUUUUACUUUCAAAAAUAUUAAUAUUUUUUUAUGAUUAGUUGAAUAAUUAAUUUUGGCCGAUAGGCAGUUUGGCUUUUUUCUGUUGGAAACGAUAACCAAGUCAACGGUGAAAUUAUGACUUUUUUGUUCUGGUGGACCAAGUCGUAGUUUUAUUAAAUUGGGCCUGGGCCCUAUAGAAGGAUUAAGGAAGAGUGCAGACAUGGGCUAUAAGGAAAGAGAAUCUGAAGUCAACAAAAUGAUGUGUUCAUGGGAAUUUAACAAUCGAUUCAGUUAAAUUUUGGGUCUUCCUUUUCCACAUUCUGCAAUAUCUCAUCUCAACUGCUCAAGAAUCAAAAUGGCGAAUAGCAUAAUCAUGGGCUGUAUAGAAUUUGUUUGUCUUAUUUUCCAUCUUCUCAUUGGCAUAAACUUUGCCGAUGCUCUUUUGAAAUGUUACGACACAGGAAACUUCACAGCCAACAGUACAUACGCCAAUAAUCGAGCUCUCAUCCUUUCUUCUUUAGCUUCAAACGUCACAGCAAAUGGAGGUUUCUACACCACAACAGUAGGCCAAGGAACAAACAAAAUUUAUGGUCUGGUGCUUUGCAGAUAUGACUAUUCAUCAGAAGCUUGCUCCAAAUGUGUCAACGAGUCAAUUGAAAAGCUGACCACAACAUGUCCUAACCAGAAAGAAGCAGUGAUAUGGACUGGGAAUCCUUGUAAAAUACACUACGCGAAUCGCUCAUUUUUCGGACAGCUGGAGGUAGAUCCUUCCGAGACUGGCUAUAAUACAGCUGACCUCCCAUCUAGUAUUAAUAUGUCUGCGUUUGAUCAGACUUGGACUAGUUUGAUGGAAAGCUUAGCAACGAAAGCAUCUAUGUCCAAUUCUACGCUUAAGACUGCGACAGGAGAAUCAGACGUCGGAUCCUUUCGAAGAAUAUAUGCAGUAAUGCAAUGUAGCCCUGAUUUAUCCCAGAGCAAUUGCAGCUAUUGUCUACAACAAGCACCAAGUGCUUAUAAUAACUGUUGCCAUGGGAAGCAAGGAGGUUAUGUUAGGAAGCCUAGUUGUACAUUCCGAUGGGAUUUGUACCCAUUCUAUACUCCUGUUGCUGAACCUCCAACACCAUCUUCUCCACC